AACGAACGCUGGCGGCAUGCCUAACACAUGCAAGUCGAACGAGAUCUUUCGGGGUCUAGUGGCGCACGGGUGCGUAACGCGUGGGAAUCUGCCUUGGGGUACGGGAUAACUCAGAGAAAUUUGAGCUAAUACCAUAUGAAGUCUUCGGACCAAAGAUUUAUCGCCCUGAGAUGAGCCCGCGUAGGAUUAGCUAGUUGGUGGGGUAAAGGCCUACCAAGGCGACGAUCCUUAGCUGGUCUGAGAGGAUGAUCAGCCACACUGGGACUGAGACACGGCCCAGACUCCUACGGGAGGCAGCAGUGGGGAAUAUUGGACAAUGGGCGCAAGCCUGAUCCAGCAAUGCCGCGUGAGUGAUGAAGGCCUUAGGGUUGUAAAGCUCUUUUACCCGGGAUGAUAAUGACAGUACCGGGAGAAUAAGCCCCGGCUAACUCCGUG
rnacentral:rRNA from 1 species